rnacentral:rRNA from 1 species
AUUGAACGCUGGCGGCAUGCUUUACACAUGCAAGUCGAACGGCAGCACGGGCUUCGGCCUGGUGGCGAGUGGCGAACGGGUGAGUAAUGCAUCGGAACGUGCCCAUGUUGUGGGGGGAUAACUACGCGAAAGCGUGGCUAAUACCGCAUACGCCCUGAGGGGGAAGGCGGGGGGAUUCUUCGGAACCUCGCGCAAUUGGAGCGGCCGAUGUCAGAUUAGCUUGUUGGUGAGGUAAAGGCUCACCAAGGCGACGAUCUGUAGCGGGUCUGAGAGGAUGAUCAGCCACACUGGGACUGAGACACGGCCCAGACUCCUACGGGAGGCAGCAGUGGGAAUAUUGGACAAUGGGCGCAAGCCUGAUCCAGCAAUGCCGCGUGGGUGAA